AUUGAACGCUGGCGGCAGGCUUAACACAUGCAAGUCGAGCGGAGUGAUGGUGCUUGCACUAUCACUUAGCGGCGGACGGGUGAGUAAUGCUUAGGAAUCUGCCUAUUAGUGGGGGACAACAUCUCGAAAGGGAUGCUAAUACCGCAUACGUCCUACGGGAGAAAGCAGGGGAUCACUUGUGACCUUGCGCUAAUAGAUGAGCCUAAGUCGGAUUAGCUAGUUGGUGGGGUAAAGGCCUACCAAGGCGACGAUCUGUGGCGGGUCUGGAGAGGAUGAUCCGCCACACUGGGACUGAGACACGGCCCAGACUCCUACGGGAGGCAGCAGUGGGGAAUAUUGGACAAUGGGGGGAACCCUGAUCCAGCCAUGCCGCGUGUGUGAAGAAGGCCUUAUGGUUGUAAAGCACUUUAAGCGAGGAGGAGGCCCUUUUGGUUAAUACCCAAGAUGAGUGGACGUUACUCGCAGAAUAAGCACCGGCUAACUCUGUGCCAGCCGCCGCAGUAACAC
rnacentral:rRNA from 1 species